AUUAUUUCCAGGUCACGUUCCCAAUCCUGGUCGCCUGAAAGGUCAGAGCGAAGCUCAAAACGGUCGAAGAGAUCGGAAAGUUCUCAACACCUGUCACGAUCACCAAGGAGGCGUGGCAGAUCGCAAGAAAGAACAAGAUUUAAGCGCUCUAGGUUUCAGUCAAAGUC